rnacentral:sRNA from 1 species
AUCGCUUCUCGGCCUUUUGGCUAAGAUCAAGUGUAAAAUUUUUGAGACAGGGUCUCACUACAUUGCUGAGGCAGACCUGAAACUUGCAAUCCUCCUGUCUCAGCCUUCUGCCUGUGCCAUCCUCUGGGUUUGGGAAGGCUCUU